AAAUAAUUAUAUAAAAUAAAAAAGUUUCCUCAAUAAAGAUUACUACUGCUACCACACUUUAGUAUAAUUUCAGUAUUGAAAAAUGGCCUUUGAGCUUUCUGAUUGGCCACCUCAGCAGUAACUCUGAGGCAAUAAUUACUACUCCUGCCCCAGGGGCCGGUUAUUCAGAGCUGGGUUAGCUAACUUAGCUUAACCCUCGGUUAACCUAAAAUUCAAAGCAAACUUCCCGAUAGCUUGUCUAUAAAUUUGGAGAUAUUUCUUCAGAGAUCUUGUCUGGAUCGAUAGGAGUUUACUUCUCUGAAGUUUUGAAAUAAACAGACGUGCAGAAAUACACAAACUAAAACAG